GACGAACGCUGGCGGCGUGCCUAACACAUGCAAGUGGAGCGACGAACCAGGGCUUGCCCUGGAGCAAAGCCGCGAACGGGUGAGUAACACGUGGGUUACCUGCCUCGAUGACCGGGACAACCCGAGGAAACUCGGGCUAAUACCGGAUGUGCCCGCAAGGGGAAAGGAAGCUUCGGCCUCCGCAUCGAGAUGGGCCCGCGGCCCAUUAGCUUGUUGGUGAGGUAACGGCUCACCAAGGCUCCGAUGGGUAGCUGGUCUGAGAGGACGAUCAGCCACACUGGGACUGAGACACGGCCCAGACUCCUACGGGAGGCAGCAGUGGGGAAUCUUGCGCAAUGCGCGAAAGCGUGACGCAGCAACGCCGCGUGGGGAAGAAGGCUUUC
rnacentral:rRNA from 1 species